UACGAAGGGGGCUAGCGUUGUUCGGAAUCACUGGGCGUAAAGCGCACGCAGGCGGAUUGAUAAGUCAGGGGUGCAAUCCCGGAGCUCAACUUCGGAAUUGCCUUUGAUACUGUCUGUCUUCGAGUUCGGGAGAGGUUGGCGGAAUUCCUAGUGUAGGGGUGAAAUUCGUAGAUAUUAGGAAGAACACCAGUGGCGAAGGCGGCCAACUGGCCCGAUACUGACGCUCAUGUGCGAAAGCGUGGGGAGCAAACAGG
rnacentral:rRNA from 1 species